CUAGUCCGACUUUUUGAAAUGACUUGAGAGGUGUAGAAUAAGUGGGAGCUUCGGCGCAAGUGAAAUACCACUAAUGGUAAGUCUUUUAGGCCAAGUAGAAAAUGGCAUGAGGCCACAUGCCAUUCAGUAGCAACAUUGGCAUGCACCGAUUGGGCUCUCGAGUGCAGUCCAGUUACAGAUGGCGUGUCUGUCACUUGGAUCCAGCAACUGUCAAUGUGGAUGCAG
rnacentral:rRNA from 1 species